rnacentral:misc_RNA from 1 species
UCCGGUUUGUCACCGGCAGUCCCAUUAGAGUGCUCAACUGAAUGUAGCAACUAAUGGCAAGGGUUGCGCUCGUUGCGGGACUUAACCCAACAUCUCACGACACGAGCUGACGACAGCCAUGCAGCACCUGUGUUCAGGCUCUCUUUCGAGCACCUCUGCAUUUCUGCAGCCUUCCGGACAUGUCAAGGGUAGGUAAGGUUUUUCGCGUUGCAUCGAAUUAAUCCACAUAAUCCACCGCUUGUGCGGGUCCCCGUCAAUUCCU